rnacentral:rRNA from 1 species
GACGGAGGAUGCAAGUGUUAUCCGGAAUCACUGGGCGUAAAGCGUCUGUAGGUGGUUUAAUAAGUCAACUGUUAAAUCUUGAGGCUCAACCUCAAAAUCGCAGUCGAAACUAUUAGGCUAGAGUAUAGUAGGGGUAAAGGGAAUUUCCAGUGGAGCGGUGGAAAUGCGUAGAGAUUGGAAAGAACACCGAUGGCGAAGGCACUUUACUGGGCUAUUACUAAC